CGUGGAUUGCUACAGAACAAUAAACUUAUGUACAUUGAUAUUUUUUUAAAUGUACAUUAACGAUUCACCAGCAGCUAGCAGAGACGGCGACAUUUUGUGCUGGACGAGCACACUUCCUCUUCCCCGCCUGACUAUUUGCGAGAGUUCCACACCAUGACACACUGCUCGUACUCCUUCAGCGGUGUAGGCUCGCCCACAUCACCUGCUGGCUGUCUAGCUAUCAAUUAAACAGAUAUGGUCGCAGCUCUUAAGGACAAUAAAGAAAUGGUGAAUACUCUUCAAGGACCACAUGCUGGAGAAGAUAGAAGAGUUCUGCCUCCAUCUUCAACAGUUGUUAAGAGGAUCCCUGCAGAUUGGGUGGAAGUAGAUGACACCCAGCUCGAUCGGCCUGAUCUCAAGAUGCUUAGCAGAACACAAAACGCUGGAGUACUAAGCCCAAUCUCUGUUCUGGAGGCACUCGGAUCUCCUGUGAUGCACUAUGCUUGAAGAUGGAAGCUGCUCAAAAAUAAGUCCCCUAAUAGUGUGCAAAUUUCUCUUUUCAUCUCAUGUAAUAAAAGAGAUAGACGUCGUUGCCUCAGCGAUUUCUUAGUUUUUGUUUCUGCCUUAUGCUAUGCUUGUAACCUUUAACUUGACAACCAUCAUGCUUCUUUCUGAGUAAUGGAGCCGGGGAGCUCCUCCCUAUUUGGACAAGUUGUCCUGCAAUUUCAGCGGAGCGGAGAGUGUGCCAAGCUUGCUGGGACAGGGUGUCCU
rnacentral:lncRNA from 1 species